rnacentral:rRNA from 1 species
GGGUUGUGAGGUUAAGCGACUAAGCGUACACGGUGGAUGCCCUGGCAGUCAGAGGCGAUGAAGGGCGUGCUAAUCUGCGAUAAGCGCCGGUAAGGUGAUAUGAACCGUUAUAACCGGCGAUACCCGAAUGGGGAAACCCAGUGUGACUCGUCACACUAUCAUUAACUGAAUCCAUAGGUUAAUGAGGCGAACCGGGGGAACUGAAACAUCUAAGUACCCCGAGGAAAAGAAAUCAACCGAGAUUCCCCCAGUAGCGGCGAGCGAACGGGGAGGAGCCCAGAGCCUGAAUCAGCAUGUGUGUUAGUGGAAGCGUCUGGAAAGGCGCGCGAUACAGGGUGACAGCCCCGUACACAAAAGCGCAUGUGCUGUGAGCUCGAUGAGUAGGGCGGGACACGUGGUAUCCUGUCUGAAUAUGGGGGGACCAUCCUCCAAGGCUAAAUACUCCUGACUGACCGAUAGUGAACCAGUACCGUGAGGGAAAGGCGAAAAGAACCCCGGCGAGGGGAGUGAAAAAGAACCUGAAACCGUGUACGUACAAGCAGUGGGAGCCCCACCACCAAAGCAUUUGCUGUACCGCGUUGACGGAGCGAAGCGACGUCAAACCGAUAAAACAGCAGUGUAAAGUGAGCCGCAGGGCGCUUUGCGCGACAGCGCAAAGGCAGGCGGUUUCGCGUAGCGAAAGCGAAUGCUUUGGGGUGGGGUGACUGCGUACCUUUUGUAUAAUGGGUCAGCGACUUAUAUUCUGUAGCAAGGUUAACCGAAUAGGGGAGCCGGAGGGAAACCGAGUCUUAACCGGGCGUUAAGUUGCAGGGUAUAGACCCGAAACCCGGUGAUCUAGCCAUGGGCAGGUUGAAGGUUGGGUAACACUAACUGGAGGACCGAACCGACUAAUGUUGAAAAAUUAGCGGAUGACCUGUGGCUGGGGGUGAAAGGCCAAUCAAACCGGGAGAUAGCUGGUUCUCCCCGAAAGCUAUUUAGGUAGCGCCUCGUGAAUUCAUCUCCGGGGGUAGAGCACUGUUUCGGCUAGGGGGCCAUCCCGGCUUACCAACCCGAUGCAAACUGCGAAUACCGGAGAAUGUUAUCACGGGAGACACACGGCGGGUGCUAACGUCCGUCGUGAAGAGGGAAACAACCCAGACCGCCAGCUAAGGUCCCAAAGUCAUGGUUAAGUGGGAAACGAUGUGGGAAGGCCCAGACAGCCAGGAUGUUGGCUUAGAAGCAGCCAUCAUUUAAAGAAAGCGUAAUAGCUCACUGGUCGAGUCGGCCUGCGCGGAAGAUGUAACGGGGCUAAACCAUGCACCGAAGCUGCGGCAGCGACACUGUGUGUUGUUGGGUA